GGCCCCGUGGUGUAGCGGUUCAACAUGUCGCCCUGUCACGGCGAAGAUCGUCGGUUCAAAUCCGAUCGGGGUCG
rfam:Megasphaera genomosp. type_1 str. 28L contig00035, whole genome shotgun sequence.